rnacentral:rRNA from 1 species
CGUAGGGUGCAAGCGUUAAUCGGAAUUACUGGGCGUAAAGCGUGCGCAGGCGGUUCUAUAAGACAGAUGUGAAAUCCCCGGGCUCAACCUGGGAAUGGCAGUGGAUACUGGACGGCUAGAAUGCGGUAGAGGGGAGUGGAAUUCCCGGUGUAGCAGUGAAAUGCGUAGAGAUCGGGAGGAACACCCGUGGCGAAGGCGGCUCACUGGACCGGCAUUGACGCUCAAGCGCGAAAGCGUGGGGAGCAAACAGG